rnacentral:rRNA from 1 species
UGGUUAAAGAUGGGCAUGCGUUGUAUUAGCUAGUUGGUGAGGUAACGGCUCACCAAGGCAACGAUACAUAGGGGGACUGAGAGGUUAACCCCCCACAUUGGUACUGAGACACGGACCAAACUCCUACGGGAGGCAGCAGUGAGGAGUAUUGGUCAAUGGACGCAAGUCUGAACCAGCCAUGCCGCGUGCAGGAAGACGGCUCUAUGAGUUGUAGACUGCUUUUGUACUAGGGUAAACGCUUCUACGUGUAGGAGCCUGAAAGUAUAGUACGAAUAAGGAUCGGCUAACUCCGUGCCAGCAGCCGCGGUAAUACGGAGGAUCCAAGCGUUAUCCGGAUUUAUUGGGUUUAAAGGGUGCGUAGGCGGUUUGAUAAGUUAGAGGUGAAAUACCGGGGCUCAACUCCGGAACUGCCUCUAAUACUGUUGAACUAGAGAGUAGUUGCGGUAGGCGGAAUGUAUGGUGUAGCGGUGAAAUGCUUAGAGAUCAUACAGAACACCGAUUGCGAAGGCAGCUUACCAAACUAUAUCUGACGUUGAGGCACGAAAGCGUGGGGAGCAAACAGGAUUAGAUACCCUGGUAGUCCACGCAGU